rnacentral:rRNA from 1 species
AUUGAACGCUGGCGGCAGGCCUAACACAUGCAAGUCGAACGAGUGGCGGACGGGUGAGUAAUGUCUGGGAAACUGCCUGAUGGAGGGGGAUAACUACUGGAAACGGUAGCUAAUACCGCAUACCAUCGGGUGUGCCCAGAUGGGAUUAGCUAGUAGGUGGGGUAAAGGCUCACCUAGGCGACGAUCCCUAGCUGGUCUGAGAGGAUGACGAGCCACAGUGGAGCUAAGACACGGGCCAGACUCCUACGGGAGGCAGCAGUGGGGAAUAUUGCACAAUGGGCGCAAGCCUGAUGCAGCCAUGCCGCGUGUAUGAAGAAGGCCUGCGGGUUGUAAAGUACGUUCAGCGGGGAGGCGUUACGCGAAGGAGAAGCACCGGCUAACUCCGUGCCAGCAGCCGCGGUAAUUC